CAGCACUCGAGACUUCUGAGCUAGUCACAGCAUGUGACCUGAGCACAAAGAGAUUACCGUUACUACAGAGGCCAGCUUCACAGCAGGAUCAGAAGCUAAAAGUCUGGAGACUGGGCAGCUCCAUACAGAUAAGGAAUGUUCUGAUAUGGACCGCAGCCAAUGAAAACUCAAGCUCUUAAAAUAAAUUAAUUUGGUUCAAUGUACUAGAAAGAUCAGCUAGCUUAGGAGCCAAGCUAGGAUCUGAAGAUUUAGAGUCAAGCCUCCAGGAGAAAUAUUAUUGGAUUUGUGUGGCAUAUGAUACCUGCUGAUUUAGAAAGAGAUCUUUCUGGCUAGCUGCACUGUCAACGUUCAAGGACAAGAGAGCAGGAUUAUGGCUUCCCUUCUGAUGAAUUGAUGCAAAGAAGCUCAGCACUGAAAGCCUGUAUGGAACUUCCACAGCAAACAACAGUUUUAUUGAUUACAGAAUCCCUAGCACUGUUUUCUUGCCACAAGAAAAAAAGUUGGAAACCAGCCAUCUUUAUUUUAAAGCCCUCCCCCACAUCAACCUGUUGCCUCAGCAACCAACGUUCUUACUAUCUGGCAGAAGACAGCUUUCUUUGGUUGAAUUGCAGCACAAAGCUGAAAGAGGAACAGAGGGGCAAGCCAUGAAAACUCACCAUUUCAUUAUUCGAAAAUGUGAAUUACCCUGAAAUGGAGCUGCUCCAAGAGGCAUCUGCAGGACCCUUCAACAUCCAUUCAAAUCCUUCAAUACCACAGUACUUCAUUUCCGUUAAUUAAAUAAUUACACCAAACUGUCUAACGAUAACAUUCAGCUGAAUUUGUGCAUUCUGAACUGCUCUUUGGUUUCAGUGAAGCCUGUAUUGUUUUCCAGGGAAUCACUGAAAGAUUGAGAGUUAUUUUCCUUUCCUAUAUAUAUAUAUAUGCUAAGGAAAAUAACUCUCAGAAUAUUAAAAUCCCCUUAAUAUUCUGCUGAAAUUACAGUGUGUUAUGUAAAUAGUCCAGAAAAUAAUACAGAAUGCAGAUCUUCAAAACCUCAGCUGCUCUUUUAAUCUUCAGAAAAUAACCUGAAGUUUGAGAUUAGUUAAUGUGCAUGUUUCCAAGGCAGAGCUCAGUGAAGCUGAUUAAAAAAGAUUACUUGUGCUUAUCUAAGAUAGAGCCCCAUUUUAUUAAUGGAAAAAGUAGCAGUAUUAAUUUGGUGGCUUCUUAGACACUCUUAUCUGAGUAAACCUGUCUAUGAGUGCAAUUUUAUUUCGGGUGUGGGGGGCAACUAAGAGAAAGUUGUGAAGGAGUCACAUCAGUUGUACUAUUAUAGGUCA
rnacentral:lncRNA from 1 species